UACGGAAGGGGCUAGCGUUAUUCGGAAUUACUGGGCGUAAAGCGUGCGCAGGCGGUCUUCCAAGUCAGUGGUGAAAGCCCGGAGCUCAACUCCGGAAAUGCCAUUGAAACUGUUGGACUUGAGUACGAGAGAGGUGAGUGGAAUUCCCAGUGUAGAGGUGAAAUUCGUAGAUAUUGGGAAGAACACCGGUGGCGAAGGCGGCUCACUGGCUCGUAACUGACGCUCAGGCGCGACAGCGUGGGGAUCAAACAGG
rnacentral:rRNA from 1 species